ACAUUCACACUUACGGGCAAUUUAGAGUCUUCAAUGAACUUACCAUGCAUGUUUUUGGGAUGUGGGAGGAAACCGGAGUGCCCGGAGAAAACCCACGCAGGCACGGGGAGAACAUGCAAACUCCACACAGGCGAGGUCGGAUUUGAACCUGGGUCCUCAGAACUGUGAGGACCCAGGCUGUGCUAACCAGUCUCCACCGUGCUGCCAGUAAAAGAUGCCAAAUCCUUGAGACCACACCUGUUGACCCUUGAAUGCCCAUGCUUGUCCUGUGCUGCAACAAAAGAGGGUGCUGUAAAGCAAAAUGAGAAUGACCACGGAGGACAAAAAGAAAUCCUGCACCUCAAACUGGGAAGUCUGAAACGUCUUUGAGCAUGUGACUGGAAGGAACUGGAGGACUGAGGUUCUUCCAGGUGUUUUUUUUUCACAGUGGUAAUCCUGCCACGGAGUGACUGUGAUUUUAACAGCGAGGCUUUCCAAACAGGGCCCAGAUGGAGGGAGCACGAACACAGCAAACAUACGUAUAGACACAGGUGCACCCGCCUUAUAAAGCAUGAGGCUCCCUCACACACACACACACACAGAAUAAAGGUGAGGGCUAACUUGUCACUCCUUGGGUGGUCUCGGUGUGAAGAUAAGGGGGGUUGGACUAAAGCUGUUUGUUCAGUUGUUCCAGCUCAGAUCAAAAGCAUCGAAUGCCAUCAUUUGAAUAAUAAAAAUGAAAUGAAAAUAUGUCAACUACAGUUUCAGUACGACAGUACUUCACUGUAAUUAACACAUAAGAGUGUCAAAUGUCAUAUUAUAUAUGCUUGUUUCCUGUGUGGAAUUUUCCUUUGUGUUGCAAUUACUUGGCGCUUGUCGGUGGGCGGAGUCUCCUGCGACGCACCUGCCGGUGCUUCGUCAUCAACAGUACAUUUAGGCGGAGGAGAAAGAUUUUGAGAAAUUGUACAUUGCUUGUUGCCAUUGUUACUCUCUCGUGCAUUCUUACUCAUAUUCCGUUGUGCCAGUUGCUAUUUUCGUUGCUUGUAAGCACGACUGUGUUUUUCUGUUCUUGUUCAUUUGCCUUCUUUAGGUUGUAGUUUGUUUUAGUGUUUUCCUCCUGUGGUUCUCUGCCUACCUUCCUUAUUUAGUACCUGUUUGUUAGAUUGUUUUCACACUGACCUAACAGUCAAAUAAAUGGGACGCGUGAGGUGUGCCUUACAAUGUUGUCGCUGAGUAUUUAGUUUUUACGUUUUACAAAAGUUGUGGAUAACUCAUUUUAAACUUGUAUGGUGGUUAAGAUUGUUGGAAACAAAAUGUUACGUGGAAUUACAAAUUGCCUGUAGACUCUGCAAGCAUCCUAGAACGUACAGGGUUAUUUAUACUAGGGGGUUCACCGACUACCCGUAUAUGUGCAUACCUUAAUCGGGUUACUGACAAAGUUUGUUUUCUACACUUUUUCACACUUCCCUGUGAAGUCCGACUUUAUAUGCACGAGUAAAAUAAACGAUCCUUGGCCAAACUCUCAGCUCCACUACGCUAAGUAGCAAUGAUGUGCUGUCCCGCUCAUUUA